UACAGAGACUGCAAGCGUUAUUCGGAUUCACUGGGCGUAAAGGGUGCGCAGGCGGCCGUGUGUGUCAGGUGUGAAAGCCCGGAGCUUAACUCCGGAAUUGCGCCUGAAACUACAUGGCUAGAGCAUUGGAGAGGGUAGUGGAAUUCACGGUGUAGCAGUGAAAUGCGUAGAUAUCGUGAGGAACACCAGAGGCGAAGGCGGCUACCUGGACAAUUGCUGACGCUCAGGCACGAAAGCGUGGGGAGCAAAAGGG
rnacentral:rRNA from 1 species